rnacentral:rRNA from 1 species
GGUUAAGCGACUAAGCGUACACGGUGGAUGCCCUGGCAGUCAGAGGCGAUGAAGGACGUGCUAAUCUGCGAUAAGCGCCGGUAAGGUGAUAUGAACCGUUAUAACCGGCGAUACCCGAAUGGGGAAACCCAGUGUGACUCGUCACACUAUCAUUAACUGAAUCCAUAGGUUAAUGAGGC